rnacentral:rRNA from 1 species
CUUUUAUGGAGAGUUUGAUCCUGGCUCAGGACGAACGCUGGCGGCGUGCCUAAUACAUGCAAGUCGAGCGGACUUGAUGAAGUGCUUGCACUUCUG